GGCGGCAUGCCUAACACAUGCAAGUCGAACGUGAUCCAAGCCUUCGGGUUUGGUGAAAGUGGCAGACGGGUGAGUAACGCGUGGGAACCUGCCCAAUGGUAGGGAAUAACCGCGGGAAACUGCGGCUAAUACCCUAUGUGCCCUAUGGGGCAAAGAUUUAUCGCCAUUGGAGGGGCCCGCGUCGGAUUAGGUAGUUGGUAGGGUAACGGCCUACCAAGCCAUCGAUCCGUAGCUGGUCUGAGAGGAUGAUCAGCCACACUGGGACUGAGAUACGGCCCAGACUCCUACGGGAGGCAGCAGUGGGGAAUAUUGGACAAUGGGGGCAACCCUGAUCCAGCAAUGCCGCGUGAGUGAUGAAGGCCUUCGGGUUGUAAAGCUCUUUCGGCGGGGAAGAUGAUGACGGUACCCGCAGAAGAAGCCCCGGCUAACUUCGUGCCAGCAGCCGCGGUAAUACNAAGGGGGCUAGCGUUGUUCGGAAUUACUGGGCGUAAAGGGCGCGUA
rnacentral:rRNA from 1 species